AGACCCUCCAGAAUCCACAUGCCUUGGCUCUUUCUGCAACCCAUAUGUCUGUCAUGCGUGGCUUGAUGUGGACCUCAGCUCUGGAUCAAGACACUGAAACUCAACUCAGACGGCAAUCCUUAGUAUUGAUCCUGGCCUGGAACAUGACUAUGAACUCCUCCUCUACUCUCAGCCUCAGGAUCAUUUACUGCACUGUUCCGUUGGCAUUUAUUGAAAUUUGCACAAAAAAAGAUCUUUCUUCAAUGACACUAUUUCAACCCGCGCAAAAGAUUUAUGGAUGCAUGAAGACGUCCGUGCCAUGGAUUUUUCUUUGUCUUCAAGAAAGGAAGGAGAGAAAGGAAAGGAAAUGUGACUGAAGAGAAAUGCAUGUUCUGAGAAAAUAAUGGGAAGUAGUUAUCUAUUAAAAAGCAAAGGGAUCAGUGAAUGUGAGGACAUGUUGGAAAAACAACUUCACUUCUCAACCCACAAAUAAAGGGAGGAUGGAUCAUUUGGUGAUUAUCUGUUGUGUACAUGCUUUCUGAAGCCUCUGGCAUUGACCACAGUGGGAAGACAGGUGGAUCUUUGGUCUGACCCAGUACGGCCAUUCUUAUGUUCUUAAUGCAGCACAAAUAUGUAUAUCAUGUGCACACACAUGUAUAUGCAUGCAUACUCAUGAACACACUUGUUCAAGUACAUUCACAAAGAGAUCCACAGACACAAAUUCCUCCCCAGUAAAUGAAAGUGUGUACUAACUGAUUUUACAUUCUUACAUAUUGGCUUAGGUGUGACAAUUUACUCAAAGACAAAUCCAGUGGUUCAUCUAAGUUGAUGUCCUCUCACCAGGAUAGUCCUGAUAAUGACCAGUGUGUAUCGUUUGCUAUCGGGGUGCUAACUCAGCCAUCUUGAGUAACGUGGA